rnacentral:lncRNA from 1 species
UAAGCGUAUGCUGGGGCAUCAGCCUGUUGCAAAGACUUCAAUGAGCAGCUGAAUGUCAGCAUCCUGAAAACACUAGUUGCAGGCACCAGUACGGCUGUGAAACCCCAAUUACCAAACCCCUUCGUGCAAGUGGACUCCGUACAGGACUGAGGUAUCAAGACAACGAAGAAAGCCAGGCAUAAGCAUCUGCAAACAUUGCUUCCAGGUGCAACAGGACCGCAGAAGUCCAAUUGUUCUUCACACAACAGUCUGUUAAAAAGAUGGAACUGCUUGACAUUUUCUUCACUCUGUGCAACAGAUAUCAACCUUUUCUGCUUUUUAUUUGAAAUGACAUGUGUAGGGCCAUUUCAUUUGUGUAGCUGAAAAUCUCCAAUGACAACUCUUCCAUUUCCAAGACAAUUCAUUUUUUUUAUUUUCCGUAUUUGUGUUAAUAAACAAAAAAGGUUGUGAAUAUGAAUGCCCUUG